rnacentral:tRNA from 1 species
GGGACCUUAGUUCAGCUGGUUAGAACGCACCGCUCAUAACGGUGUUGUCGCAGGUUCAAGUCCUGCAGGUCCCA